AGAGUUUGAUCCUGGCUCAGAACGAACGUUGGCGGCGUGGAUUAGGCAUGCAAGUCGAGCGGGAUUAACUCGUUUCAAUCCUUCGGGAGAGAAACUUGUUAUGAGAGCGGCGAACGGGUGAGUAAUGCAUGGGGAAUCUGCCUCUAAGUUGGGAAUAGCCUUUGGAAACGAAGGGUAAUGCCGGAUGUGAUCGUCUGCCGCAUGGUAGACUGUUUAAAAGCUGGGAUCUUCGGACCAGUUGCUUAGAGAUGACCCCAUGUCCUAUCAGCUAGUUGGUGAGGUAAUGGCUCACCAAGGCUUACGGGUAGCCGGCCUGAGAGGGUGAUCGGCCACACUGGGACUGAGAACUGCCCAGACUCCUACGGGAGGCUGCAGUCGAGAAUCAUUCACAAUGCGCGAAAGCGUGAUGAUGCGACGCCGCGUGGAGGAAGACGGUCUUCGGAUUGUAAACUCCUGUCAGCAGGGAAGAAUAAUACAUCGCUUAAUAGGGGUUGUAUUUGACGGUACCUGCAGAGGAAGUCACGGCUAACUCUGUGCCAGCAGCCGCGGUAAUACAGAGGUGGCGAACGUUGUUCGGAUUUACUGGGCGUAAAGGGUCCGCAGGCGGAUCGGUAUGUCGGAUGUGAAAGCUCACAGCUCAACUGUGGAACUGCAUUCGAAACUGCCGAUCUAGAGUACUGGAGGGGAGAAGGGAAUUCUUGGUGUAGCGGUGAAAUGCGUAGAUAUCAAGAAGAACACCGGUGGCGAAGGCGCUUCUCUGGACAGAUACUGACGCUCAUGGACGAAAGUUAGGGUAGCGAAAGGGAUUAGAUACCCCUGUAGUCCUAACCGUAAACGGUGUGCACUAGUCGUGGGUGGUUUACCCCCAUCCGUGACUGAGCUAACGCAUUAAGUGCACCGCCUGGGGAGUACGGUCGCAAGAUUAAAACUCAAAGGAAUUGACGGGGACCCGCACAAGCGGUGGAGCAUGUGGCUUAAUUCGAUGCAACGCGAAGAACCUUACCUGGACUUGACAUAUAGCUGCAUCCGACCCGAAAGGGACGGAGCCUUCGAGGGUGCUAUACAGGUGCUGCAUGGCUGUCGUCAGCUCGUGCCGUGAGGUGUUGGGUUAAGUCCCGCAACGAGCGCAACCCCUAUGUUUAGUUGCCAUCAUUUAGUUGGGCACUCUAGACAGACUGCUGGUGAAAGCCAGAGGAAGGUGGGGAUGACGUCAAGUCAGUAUGGUCCUUAUGUCCAGGGCUGCACACGUGCUACAAUGGGCAGUACAGAGGGAAGCCAAGCCGCGAGGUGGAGCAAAUCCCCAAAACUGUCCCCAGUUCGGAUUGGAGUCUGAAACUCGACUCCAUGAAGUUGGAAUCGCUAGUAAAGGCGUAUCAGCUACGACGCCUUGAAUACGUUCCCGGGUCUUGUACACACCGCCCGUCACAUCAUGGAAGUCUGUUGCACCCAAAGUCGCUGAUCUAACCUUUUUACAGGAAGAAGGCGCCUAAGGUGUGACCGGUAACUAGGAUGAAGUCGAAACAAGGUA
rnacentral:rRNA from 1 species